AACGAACGCUGGCGGCAGGCCUAACACAUGCAAGUCGAACGCCGUAGCAAUACGGAGUGGCAGACGGGUGAGUAACGCGUGGGAACAUACCCCUCGGUUCGGAAUAACUCAGGGAAACUUGAGCUAAUACCGGAUACGUCCGAGGUUUUAAUCGGCCUAGGAGAAAGAUUUAUCGCCGGAGGAUUGGCCCGCGUCUGAUUAGCUAGUUGGUGAGGUAAUGGCUCACCAAGGCGACGANCAGUAGCUGGUCUGAGAGGAUGAUCAGCCACAUUGGGACUGAGACACGGCCCAAACUCCUACGGGAGGCAGCAGUGGGGAAUAUUGGACAAUGGGCGAAAGCCUGAUCCAGCCAUGCCGCGUGAGUGAUGAAGGCCUUAGGGUGUAAGCUCUUUACCCGAGAAGAUAAUGACGGUACCGGGAGAAUAAGCCCCGGCUAACUUCGUGCCAG
rnacentral:rRNA from 1 species